UACGUAGGGUGCGAGCGUUAAUCGGAAUUACUGGGCGUAAAGGGCGCGUAGGCGGCCUCGCAAGUCCCGUGUGAAAUCCCUCGGCUCAACUGAGGAAUGGCACGGGAAACUGCGGGGCUUGAGUUCGGGAGAGGGAAGCGGAAUUCCGGGUGUAGCGGUGAAAUGCGUAGAUAUCCGGAGGAACACCGGUGGCGAAGGCGGCUUCCUGGACCGAUACUGACGCUGAGGCGCGAAAGCUAGGGGAGCAAACGGG
rnacentral:rRNA from 1 species